rnacentral:rRNA from 1 species
GACGAACGCUGGCGGCGUGCUUAACACAUGCAAGUCGAACGGAAAGGCUCCAGCUUGCUGGAGUACUCGAGUGGCGAACGGGUGAGUAACACGUGGGUAAUCUGCCCUGCACUCUGGGAUAAGCCUGGGAAACUGGGUCUAAUACUGGAUAUGACCUUUCUCCUUAUGGGGUUUGGUGGAAAGUUUUUCGGUGUAGGAUGAGCCCGCGGCCUAUCAGCUUGUUGGUGGGGUGAUGGCCUACCAAGGCGACGACGGGUAGCCGGCCUGAGAGGGUGAUCGGCCACAUUGGGACUGAGAUGCGGCCCAGACUCCUACGGGAGGCAGCAGUGGGGAAUAUUGCACAAUGGGCGGAAGCCUGAUGCAGCGACGCCGCGUGAGGGAUGACGGCCUUCGGGUUGUAAACCUCUUUCAGCAGGGACGAAGCGUAAGUGACGGUACCUGCAGAAGAAGCACCGGCUAACUACGUG